UACGGGGGGGGUAAGCGUUGUUCGGAAUUACUGGGCGUAAAGGGCUCGUAGGCGGCCAACUAAGUCAUACGUGAAAUCCCUCAGCUUAACUGGGGAACUGCGUGUGAUACUGGAUGGCUUGGAUUUGGGAGAGGGAUGCGGAAUUCCAGGUGUAGCGGUGAAAUGCGUAGAGAUCUCCAAGAACACCAGUUGCGAAGGCGGCUGACUGGACUCAUAUUGACGCUGAGGCUCGAAAGCAUGGGGAGCAAACAGG
rnacentral:rRNA from 1 species